GGGUCAGUGGUCUAGCCUGGUAUGACGCCACCCUUACACGGUGGAAAUCGCCGGUUCGAAUCCGGCCUGACCCA
rnacentral:tRNA from 7 species